rnacentral:rRNA from 1 species
AUACGUAGGGAGCGAGCGUUGUCCGGAAUUACUGGGUGUAAAGGGAGCGUAGGCGGGGCGGCAAGUCAGGUGUGAAAUUUAUGGGCUUAACCCAUAACCUGCAUUUGAAACUGUCGUUCUUGAGUGAAGAAGAGGUUGGCGGAAUUCCUAGUGUAGCGGUGAAAUGCGUAGAUAUUAGGAGGAACACCAGUGGCGAAGGCGGCCAACUGGGCUUUUACUGACGCUGAGGCUCGAAAGCGUGGGGAGCAAACAGGAUUAGAUACCCUGGUAGUCCACGCUGUAAACGAUGAUUACUAGGUGUGGGGGGACUGACCCCUUCCGUGCCGGAGUUAACACAAUAAGUAAUCCACCUGGGGAGUACGGCCGCAAGGUUGAA